CCAGGCCAUGUCCCUCAGGAACAUUUGAGAAAGAAAGGCCAUUUUUUAAUGAGGGCAGCUUGCGGCCAGCUUUUGUGAGGAAGCUCUCCACCCUUGCUUUUCGAGUCUCCCUUUGAAUCAAAAAGCCAAAAGCACACUUUUCGGCAGCUACCUCCUGAACAUCCAGCAAAGCAAAACAUGUGUAAACUCAAUGGUCUGCUGACAUCACAUGCUUUACAUGGUGCAAAAAUGGCGAUGGUGCUUUCAGUGUCACAGAAGGAAUCAUCUGGAAAAGGAAACAUUAUUUGCGAGCCUGUCAUGCUUGGUUUCUAAUUCACCAGUCCACCACCCCAUCAAAGAGGUUUUUCAAUCAAUCUUUUUUUUAUCUAGCACUUUUCAUUGGGGCACACCAUCCCAACGCAUUUUCAAAAAGCAGUUCAGCUUACUGAGAUCUAUAUUCCCAUAGACAGAGUUAAUUGAGUUCAGAUGAGGGACUUGCUUCAAGCUGGAGUGAGUCAGACGUGGGAUUUAAAAGUCCAUCCAUCUUUCAUCUAGUUCAGUGUUGCAGGGAGCUGGAACCUAUUCUGACAACGCUAUGAUCAGGGCAGCAAUCAACCCCAGAUAAGAUGCCACUCCAUUCCAAGAGACAAACAGCUGCAGUUAUCCACUUAAGAGACAUAAACUAAUCUAACACUCUCAGCUUUAGAAUAUCGGAAGAAGCUGGAAGAAAACAUUGCGGAGAGACAACAGGAUUGAAAUGAACCUGGAUACUUGGAGAUAUGAGCCAGCACUUGAAAUUAAUGUCAUUUGCAACUGGAAACCUUUUUGAUUGUGUUAUCCAUCCAUCUAUUUUCUAAACUCACUUUGGGAUCUGAGCAAACUGAAAAUAAUUAACAAUCCACAGGACAUGAGCUUUGCACAGAUUUAUAACUGACAUCAUAACAAAAUGCUAGCAACAUUAAUAAAAAGCCCUGCAAACUACUAAGACCGUUGAUUAAAAAAGACCAUAGAGGUGAGAACAGGUUGCCGGGUAAAACACAGAUGCUUACUGAAGACACACUUCCAGUGCUUUUGUUGUCUGAAGAUAAUCAGGAAAGAUGCUACGUAUUUUGAGGAGGAAGUAAAAUCGACUGAUGGAAACAAUGGAAUUGCACUUAAUCAUGUCUUAUCAUUUUCUAACCUGCUUAAGUCUAACCAGAGUAGCAGGGGGUGCUGGAGACUAUCCCAACUAGCACAGGACGCAAAGUAGGAACAAACCCUGGACAGUGUGCCAGUCCAUCAUAGGGUGAACACACA